rnacentral:antisense_RNA from 2 species
CUUCACCGACGCCAGUCGCAGCGGCCGGUCGUCGGCGCGGCCCUGCCCGUAGGUCGCGAGCAGCGCCUGCGCCUC